UUCCUAUCAAUUACAAUGCAAAGGGCUAUCUAUAUCAUUCACUAACCACUUAGUCAUAACAAAUUAACAAGAUUACAAGAUUUCCUUCUUUUUGGGUUCAAGAACAGGAGGAUCAACAUCAAUCCCCAUGUUAGCUGCAGUGCCUGCUAUAAUUCUCAUUGCUGAUUCAAUUGUGGUGCAAUUCAAGUCCGGUAGCUUUUCAGCAGCUAUUGCACGACAUUGCUCAAUUGUGAUCUUACCCACUUUCUCUCUCUUUGGGUCUUUAGAACCUUUCUCCACGCCUGCAGCCUUAAGCAGCAGAAUUGAGGCAGGUGGUGUCUUUAAAAUGAAAGUGAAGCUUCUAUCAUCAUAGACGGUAAUUUCAACAGGAAUGAUAUAACCAGCUUUAUCAGCGGUUUUGGCAUUGUAAUCUUUACAGAAAGCCAUAAUGUUGACACCCUUAGCACCAAGCGCUGGACCCACAGGAGGAGCGGGAGUUGCCUUCCCUGCCUCUAGAGCCAGCUUUAUCAACCCAACGACUUUUUUGGCCUUCCCAGCUGG
rnacentral:misc_RNA from 1 species